AACGCGAAGAACCUUACCCAGACUUGACAUGUAGGAGACGGCAGCAGAGAUGUUGCCUUCCGCAAGGACUGCUACACAGGUGCUGCAUGGCUGUCGUCAGCUCGUGCCGUGAGGUGUUUGGUUAAGUCCAGCAACGAGCGCAACCCUUAUCAUUAGUUGCCAACAUUUAAGGUGGGAACUCUAAUGAGACUGCCCGGGUUAACCGGGAGGAAGGUGAGGAUGACGUCAAGUCAGCAUGGCCUUUAUGUCUGGGGCCACACACGUGCUACAAUGGCCGGUACAGAAGGCAGCAAAACCGCAAGGUGGAGCAAAUCCCAAAAGCCGGUCUCAGUUCAGAUUGUAGUCUGCAACUCGACUACAUGAAGUUGGAAUUGCUAGUAAUGGUGGGUCAGCCACACCACCGUGAAUACGUUCCCGGGCCUUGUACACACCGUAGUAC
rnacentral:rRNA from 1 species